GCGUCGAGCGGCGGACGGGUGAGUAAUGCCUAGGAAAUUGCCCUGAUGUGGGGGAUAACCAUUGGAAACGAUGGCUAAUACCGCAUAAUGCCUACGGGCCAAAGAGGGGGACCUUCGGGCCUCUCGCGUCAGGAUAUGCCUAGGUGGGAUUAGCUAGUUGGUGAGGUAAGGGCUCACCAAGGCGACGAUCCCUAGCUGGUCUGAGAGGAUGAUCAGCCACACUGGAACUGAGACACGGUCCAGACUCCUACGGGAGGCAGCAGUGGGGAAUAUUGCACAAUGGGCGCAAGCCUGAUGCAGCCAUGCCGCGUGUGUG
rnacentral:rRNA from 1 species